rnacentral:rRNA from 1 species
CAGUCGCCGCGGUAAUGCGAAGGGUGCAAGCGUUAAUCGGAAUUACUGGGCGUAAAGCGUGCGUAGGCGGUUUGUUAAGUCUGUUGUGAAAUCCCCGGGCUCAACCUGGGAAUGGCAAUGGAUACUGGCAAGCUAGAGUGUGUCAGAGGAUGGUGGAAUUCCCGGUGUAGCGGUGAAAUGCGUAGAGAUCGGGAGGAACAUCAGUGGCGAAGGCGGCCAUCUGGGACAACACUGACGCUGAGGCACGAAAGCGUGGGGAGCAAACAGGAUUAGAUACCCCCGUAGUCCCUGUCUCUUAUAC